GAUGAACGCUGGCGGCGUGCCUAAUACAUGCAAGUCGAGCGAACAGACGAGGAGCUUGCUCCUCUGACGUUAGCGGCGGACGGGUGAGUAACACGUGGAUAACCUACCUAUAAGACUGGGAUAACUUCGGGAAACCGGAGCUAAUACCGGAUAAUAUAUUGAACCGCAUGGUUCAAUAGUGAAAGACGGUUUUGCUGUCACUUAUCGAUGGAUCCGCGCCGCAUUAGCUAGUUGGUAAGGUAACGGCUUACCAAGGCAACGAUGCGUAGCCGACCUGAGGGGGGGAUCGCCCACACUGGAACUGAGACACGGUCCAGACUCCUACGGGAGGCAGCAGUAGGGAAUCUUCCGCAAUGGGCGAAAGCCUGACGGAGCAACGCCGCGUGAGUGAUGAAGGUCUUCGGAUCGUAAAACUCUGUUAUUAGGGAAGAACAAAUGUGUAAGUAACUAUGCACGUCUUGACGGUACCUAAUCAGAAAGCCACGGCUAACUACGUG
rnacentral:rRNA from 1 species